AUGCCAACAUCUAAGCCACCAUCGGUGCCACCGGCACCAAGCCUGCAACCAUUACCAUCAUCUGCAGCACGACAGAACAGUCGUAUUGACCUUCGUGAGAUCAAGUCCAAGAUUGUUAAGACGAUUGGGCCAGAACGAGCAAAGAAGUACUUUCAACAUCUGGAGAGAUUCUUAUCAUCAAAAUUGAGCAAGAAUGAGUUUGAUAAGCUGUGUCUUGUGGCACUUGGCCGGGAGAACCUCCCAUUGCAUAACCACCUCAUCCGUUCCAUUCUUUUCAAUGCCUCUGCAGCGAGUGGCCCACCAGCAAUUAAUGCAUCUAAAAUGGCUGAGGAUGUCACCAAUUCAGAACAUACAAUGGUUCCACAUGUCUGGAAUGGUGACACUUUGAGCAAGCAUGUCAAAGACAAACACUCAUUGAGCAGAAGUGUGAACACAUUAACGCAGCAUUCAUCACUGACUCAUGGUGAGACUAUCAAUAGGGAGAAUGGUGCUCCAAAUUUGAUUGGUUUGAAGAGAUAUACACAGCUUCGGCAAAGUGAGCAUCUUGAGCCAUUUACCAAGCGAUCAUGUAUGGGGAAGGCACCAUUGAAUUUUCGUGGCUCUCUACAUAGCAAUGGACCUUCUGCUAUAAAUGCUAGAGAUUCCUUGGGAGAAGAAAUUACACAACAUGCUCAAGUUCCGGUGCAAGCUCCAAUUGGGAUUCAGUUUGGCGGUGCUAAUUUUUGCCAGGCUAAAAAACCUUCAGCCAUUGCUUCUGUCAGUUCAGACAAUAGCUCUAUUUGUUGUUAUGACCUUGGUGAACUAUGUGAUACUUUGUCACUUAGAAAGAAAAUGGAAAAAACAGCACAAAUGGAAGGCUUGGAAGGGGUCUCAGUAGAGUGUGCUGAUUUGUUGAAUAAUGGAGUUGAUGUUUUCUUGAAGCAAUUGAUUGGAUCUUGUGUUGAGCUUGUUGGAGCAAGGUCUCAACAUGGUAAACUAAGCCAUGCGGCAUUGAAGCAACAGUUGGGCCGUAAGGUAGUAAAUGGUGUAUCACUGCAAAAUCAUACCCAUGUGCAGGGUGGCAUUAUACCUCCAGGGACUAAGUCAAUCUCAAUGCAAGACUUAAAGGCAGUGUCAGAGCUAAACCCUCGUCUGCUUGGGGUUAACGCAUCAGGGCUACUUGAAAAGAUCAAUUCACAUGACUAA
rnacentral:rRNA from 1 species